GGAGAGGUGUCCGAGUGGUCGAAGGUGACAGACUCGAAAUCUGUUGUGGGGAAACUCACCGUGGGUUCGAAUCCCACCCUCUCCGCCA
rnacentral:tRNA from 1 species